rnacentral:rRNA from 1 species
AGAACGAACGCUGGCGGCAGGCUUAACACAUGCAAGUCGAGCGCCCCGCAAGGGGAGCGGCAGACGGGUGAGUAACGCGUGGGAACAUACCCCAAGGUUCGGAAUAACUCAGGGAAACUUGAGCUAAUACCGGAUAUCUCCGCGAGGAGAAAGAUUUAUCGCCAUGGGAUUGGCCCGCGUUCGAUUAGCUAGUUGGUGAGGUAAUGGCUCACCAAGGCGACGAUCGAUAGCUGGUCUGAGAGGAUGAUCAGCCACAUUGGGACUGAGACACGGCCCAAACUCCUACGGGAGGCAGCAGUGGGGAAUAUUGGACAAUGGGCGAAAGCCUGAUCCAGCCAUGCCGCGUGAGUGAUGACGGCCUUAGGGUUGUAAAGCUCUUUCGCUAGGGACGAUAAUGACGGUACCUAGAUAAGAAGCCCGGCUAACUUCGUGCCAGCAGCGC